UACGUAUGGUGCAAGCGUUAUCCGGAUUUACUGGGUGUAAAGGGAGCGCAGGCGGUGCGGCAAGUCUGAUGUGAAAGCCCGGGGCUCAACCCCGGUACUGCAUUGGAAACUGUCGUACUAGAGUGUCGGAGGGGUAAGCGGAAUUCCUAGUGUAGCGGUGAAAUGCGUAGAUAUUAGGAGGAACACCAGUGGCGAAGGCGGUUUACUGGACGAUAACUGACGCUGAGGCUCGAAAGCGUGGGGAGCAAACAGG
rnacentral:rRNA from 1 species